rnacentral:rRNA from 1 species
UACAGGGGGUGCAAACGUUGCUCGGAAUCAUUGGGCGUAAAGCGCACGUAGGCGGUUCGUUAUGUCGGAUGUGAAAGCCCUUGGCUUAACCGAGGAAGUGCAUCCGAAACUGGCGAGCUAGAGUACGAAAGGAGGAUCGCGGAAUUCCCGGUGUAGAGGUGAAAUUCGUAGAUAUCGGGAGGAACACCGGUGGCGAAGGCGGCGAUCUGGGUCGAUACUGACGCUGAGGUGCGAAAGCGUGGGGAGCAAACAGGG